AACGAACGCUGGCGGCAUGCCUAACACAUGCAAGUCGAACGAGACCUUCGGGUCUAGUGGCGCACGGGUGCGUAACGCGUGGGAACCUGCCCUUAGGUUCGGAAUAACUCCCCGAAAGGGGUGCUAAUACCGGAUAAGGUCUUCGGACCAAAGAUUUAUCGCCUUUGGAUGGGCCCGCGUUGGAUUAGCUAGUUGGUAGGGUAAAAGCCUACCAAGGGGACGAUGCAUAGCUGGUCUGAGAGGAUGAUCAGCCACACUGGGAAUGAGACACGGCCCAGACUCCUACGGGAGGGAGCAGUGGGGAAUAUUGGACAAUGGGCGAAAGCCUGAUCCAGCAAUGCCGCGUGAGUGAUGAAGGCCUUAGGGUUGUAAAGCUCUUUUACCCGGGAUGAUAAUGACAGUACCGGGAGAAUAAGCACCGGCUAACUACGUG
rnacentral:rRNA from 1 species